AUGGCGGAUGCAUCAAGAGUGAAGAGUGGAGCUUUAUAAAACCAUUCAACAAUUGUCUUUUAAAAGACAACCAAAUAAAUAUUUUGAAAAACAACUACUGGGAGAUAUCUCCUGAUUCAGAUUUAUGAGCAAGAUAAUCAUGCUUCCAUGGUCAAAGUAGCUCUUCUGAGUGUGUUUCAUCAUCAACAUCAAUGCCAUGUGGGUCAACAUCACUGAAUGAAACUGCUUCAAUACGAAAGCUUACAAGUGAAGAUAUAGAUAGGAGAGGAUUUUGAUGGCGAGUAUGGUUAUCGAAUGAUUGAACUUUCAAACCUAGCAAGUGCAUUUCAGUCCUUGCAUGAUUGGGAAUUAGGCGGAGAGUUGAAAGUUACCGAUGAUGAGUCUCGUAGAUAUGGAAAUAGCACAGUCAUUGUUGAGUCAGAUAUUGCAGAGAUUGCUGGGCAAAUUGAAAAGAGUCAGGGUGAUAUUGUUGCAGACAAGGAUGUUAUCAUUCGUCGUUCAUGGUUGAAUGGUGCGAAACAUAUGUUACGCUGAUACAGACAGAGCCACAGCAUCGGCAGUCCUUAUAUUGUGGGUUUGGUAUGUAAUAUACAAUUUCUUUUACCUAAAGCUAUGAAUCACCGACACGCCCACUGAAUCUAAUUAUGACGUCACUUCCGGUCCGCGGGGCUUAUUUCGCUACUUCCUUACGCUUUGACUUUUGAC